UGAAAUCUUUGCCUGUUCUGGGGCUAUUCUGUUAAUUGCUGAAAUCUAGACCCAGGCUAUCAACCAUCCUAAGGAGCACUGAUCUUCACCUUUACCAGCACUGUGCUCAUUCACACCAGCUGAUGAUUUGGUCUUUGGUCAUUUGAGUCCUACCCAUGCUCAGAAAUGUUAAUUAAGAAUAACAGAGCCUCUCUUGCAAAUAGUGGUGGCUCUGUUUCUUUAGUUCUUUUAGUAAAUACUUUAUUUCUGAAAUUAGAGCUCCUGAACUGAUUUAUGUUACAAGAGUAACAUUCCCUUAUAAUUAAUUAAUUGAUUACUUAGUUAAUUGCUUAGUGAUGUGAUCGCUCAGCUCUGUUAUGGCAUCUGGUAUGAUAAUGAACUCUUACAAAAUGGCUUGUUCUUGCUGAGAUCUCUCCUCAAAACAGGGGGUUUGCUUAUGGAUGUGAAACAGAAGGAGGGUUUUCCCACACCCUGCUCUUAUCUUUCUUUUCAUCACAACUUUCACAUUUUGAAAACUUUGGCCCAUCUGAGAGGGACAGAGGAAGAAAACCCACCUUACUCUAUGUCUUUGCAACAGGAGAGAGGGGCAAGCUAAUGCAGUUCACCUGUUCUGCUCUUCUGGCAGGGUGUCAAUGUACAAUGGACUGUAAUUCUAAAGCAAACAGUGACCGUGGCAGUAAAUGCAAUCCCUGAGGGGCUGGUGUGUGUUUAUAUCAUUCCUCUAAGGCUCCAGAUCUUCUCUGUAAUGAGUAAAAGACAAAUAUUCCCAGAGCGGGAGAGGUGUGUGGCUGAGCGAACACUUUGCUGAGGCCCAGAAGGCACUGAGGAAAGGAGACAGCUCAGAGAAGGUGAUGGGAGAAAGCCAUUCACAGAACUUAUGGAAAUCUCAUGAAAACAUGGACUUUUGUCUCCAGAAAUUCUGCACAGAAUUUAUUCUUCCUUGCGCUCAAAUUGUCAUCUCUAUGAACAUUAAUGAAUAGAAAUAAUAUCUGUCAGGAAUAAGACCUGUGAAUAUCCUGGACACAGCAUCAUUCUGUUCCAACUUUUACGUGGGGGAAAUAGGGGUCUAGAUGCUUUCCUGUGCUGUCAUUACAGCUGAGAAAGGGCCCCUUUGUACCAGCUGUCUUAGCUUCUGAGAGCCUCUGCCAUACGGCUUCCAAACCAUAACUUUCUGCAUUAUGUUUCCUGCAAACUGUUCCUAGCCAUUCCUUGCUCAAUUGCAUCGAAUUCGAGCAUACUGGUGUUAUUUCAGAAGAGUUCGCAGACAACAAAUAGCAACAUUUGCUAAAUACAUGACUGCCAGAUUCUACGUGGAAGAGUAAUAAAAUGCAAAGUACAUAACUCAGCUCCACAUAGCUUGGUCUGGCUGCUUGCCCUUUUGCCUCUGAAUUGCUUUUUGAAUCCCUGCCCUGCCCAAUACAAGUGAAAUUAUUCUAAUUAUACAGUUUGAAAGAGUCCCUGGUGAC